UACGUAGGCAGCGAGCGUUGUUCGGAGUUACUGGGCGUAAAGAGUGCGUAGGCGGUUUUCUAAGUUUGGUGUGAAAUCUCCCGGCUUAACUGGGAGGGUGCGCCGAAAACUGGAAGGCUUGAGUAUGGGAGAGGUAAGCGGAAUUCCUGGUGUAGCGGUGAAAUGCGUAGAUAUCAGGAGGAACACCGGUGGCGAAGGCGGAUCUCUGGGCCUUACCUGACGCUGAGGCGCGAAAGCUAGGGGAGCGAACAGG
rnacentral:rRNA from 1 species